rnacentral:rRNA from 1 species
GAUGAACGCUAGCGGCAGGCUUAAUACAUGCAAGUCGAGGGGCAGCACGGUUAGCAAUAACUGGUGGCGACUGGCGCACGGGUGCGUAACACGUAUACAAUCUACCUUAAACAGGGGGAUAGCCUUUCGAAAGAGAGAUUAAUACCCCGUAAUAAAUUGAACGGCAUCGUUUGAUUUUGAAAGCUCCGGCGGUUUGAGAUGAGUAUGCGUCUGAUUAGCUAGUUGGUGAGGUAACGGCUCACCAAGGCGACGAUCAGUAGGGGAUCUGAGAGGACUAACCCCCACACUGGUACUGAGACACGGACCAGACUCCUACGGGAGGCAGCAGUAAGGAAUAUUGGUCAAUGGAGGCAACUCUGAACCAGCCAUGCCGCGUGCAGGAUGACGGCCCUAUGGGUUGUAAACUGCUUUUAUACAAGAGAAAACCCUGGUACGUGUACCAGGUUGAUAGUAUUGUAAAAUAAGCAUCGGCUAACUUCGUGCCAGCAGCCGCGGUAAU